UUGCUUUACUUUUCUACAGUAGCCACACAGAAUGCCUCCAAUCAGGAAAAACAAAAUUUCUCAAAAUUAUGGUCAGAAAAGAAGAUGUACUUGUAGAAUAAUCUGAGGGGGGCUAUUACUUCUUGGGUGGUAAUGUUAUUCUUUGUCUGAAACAUCUGGAAAUAACACCCCUUGGCUUGAAAAAAAAUGUAAACCAAAACAGAAGAGUAGAAGACUCCAUUGUUUAACAUGAGCAAGAUUUAGAACAUUCGAGUUCUAUGACGAGGCCACAGAGACAGCAGAAUAAUCUGCCCACCAGGGGAAGGUUGUCAAGAUAGAAUUCAAACACCAGUGACCUAAACGGAAAGUCCUUGCUCAUAAUGACCAUGCUGAACAACCUUGGAAGGCCACCCUGCUUACAACCUUUUCUGUGUAUUUCCACACCCUUAGGAUCAAGUCCAAAUUGACCAGCAUCUUAGUACACUAAUUAGUACAAUAUUCAAGAUUCUGCACAGCCCGAUCCUGAUCAUUCCAUCCUGUCACCUCCCCUCCUGCCUCCUCGUGCUCUGGCUCCCAUCCCACAGCCUUGUUCCAAGCAUCUGAGCAUACAGAUUCCCAAACCCUCUGGUUCCCUCACAACCUGCCUGUGAGUUAACCUUGCUCCUGCCUCGCCCUCUGCCCAGAUUUCCCAGCUGCUGCUUUAGGAUAUAGGCCUGGCAUAGAAUCCUCCCAGGACUUCUGUGCAAGGCUCCCACUCUGCACUGCUCCUGUCCACUCAGCUCUCUCCUGAGGCCAACUGCCAACCCCCCCAGAGGCAAGGUCUGGAUGCUUGCCUGCCUGCCCUCCCACCAGGGGUUAGCGGGGUGUCUGGCCUCCCCAAGGGCACUCAAAAUAAAAACUAGCAAAAGUAAGAAGUGGGCAAAAAGGACAGGAGUCCGAUGGAGAGAUAGACAGGGAGACAGAAGUUGUGAAUUUCCAUUUGUAAAUCAUCAGCUCUUCCUUCCCAAUAAACAUUAAUUAAACGACUCAACACCC